rnacentral:rRNA from 1 species
UACGUAGGGGGCAAGCGUUGUCCGGAUUUAUUGGGCGUAAAGAGCGUGUAGGCGGUUUGGUAGGUCCGUUGUGAAAACUCGAGCUCAACCUCGAGACGCCGGCGGAAACCAUCAGACUAGAGUCCGGAAGAGGAGAGUGGAAUUCCUGGUGUAGCGGUGAAAUGCGCAGAUAUCAGGAAGAACACCCGUGGCUAAGGCGGCUCUCUAGUACGGUACUGACGCUGAGGUGCGAAAGCUAGGGGAGCAAACAGG